GAGCGGCUAGUUCAAUUGGAUAGAACGUCUGAUUACGGAUCAGUUGGCUGGGGGUUCGAGUCCCUCGCUGCUCA
rnacentral:tRNA from 1 species